GGGAUCAGGUUAAGUAAACAAAAGGAUGUCUCGGCCGGCGACGUGCGUGUAGUGUGUCAUCGCUGUUUCGAAAUGUGUGUCUGGUCUUAGCACGUUUGCUAGCCUUGCUAUCCACACUAUCCCAAACUCGCGACGUACACUUUGUUCUGUGACCCUAGAGGUACUUUACGCUUCAGUGACUGAGCUUCCAGGAUCUAGAUCUAGCUGUAUUCGUGGUCGUUACGUCAUAUCAUAGUGCUGAGUAAUUCAGUGUAAAAUACUUAUCUAUGUGUUGUUUACCUCAGUGGACCUGAGACUUGUUACACAUGAAGCCUAGUGUGUCUAGUGUGUUUGGAUUUAUAUUGAUUUCUUUCAUGGAAGUGUUUGAAGAACAAAACUAGGCCAUCUACAUCUCUUAGCCUUUGCUAUUGGCAUGUAACGCACCGAAAAUACACCAACCUUUUGCCUACUUCUAGAUUUUAGACCUACUGGAAAUAGAGUUGGACGACUCAUUAUAGAUUAAUUUCCAGUGUGAUGAAUUAUUAAGCUGUAUUUUUUAGAGUGAGGUCCUAAAACGUUCUGGAUAUUAGUGUGACAGUAGAUACCUCUGAUGUUAUUCACCGGACUUGUCUGAGCGAACUGUAGCGUGGAACAGAAAUCUCGUGCCUUUCAACAUUAAGGGAUUCUCGUGUUAAAAUAAAAUUAAAUUGAAUCAUGGAUUUUUAAACAUUCUUGGAGAAGGAGAAACUUUUUUUUUUUAAAUUUGAGUUCAUAAUGGUCUCAAAUUAAAUUGCGGCCAGGAAAAGGCAGACUAAAAAAUAAUGGGCUGUAGACCGAGUGAGUGACGACUGGUAGCAACCUGCUUGACCAUGUUUUGCGGCCUGAGCCGGAAGUUGGCGCAGUCCUUCUCGAGGGGCUCCCGCCGCUAUGAAGAGAAGAAGGAGAAGAAGAAGAAGCUCAAGAAGCGGAGGUCAAGGUCACUGGACAGCUAUGACCUUGAGAUCUCGGCCGAAUUUUCCACUGUUACUGUGUACGAAGAGAAAAUCGAGCAAGGCCAAACUAGCCACACAGAAAUGAUGUCUGGGCAGCACAACUGGUACGCCUGUUCCCAUGCCCGACCGACUUAUUGCAACGUCUGUCGUGAGGCGCUGUCUGGGGUCACGUCA
rnacentral:sRNA from 1 species